GCCCGUGUAACUCAAUUGGCCAGAGUGUCAGACUUUUACGGACCCUUGUGUCAGGUUAUCUGAAAGUUGCGGGUUCGAGCCCCGCCAUGGGCU
rfam:Punctularia strigosozonata HHB-11173 SS5 unplaced genomic scaffold PTNSTscaffold_6, whole genome shotgun sequence.